UACGAAGGGGGCGAGCGUUGUUCGGAUUUACUGGGCGUAAAGGGCGCGUAGGCGGCGCGAGAAGUCGAGUGUGAAAGCCCCGGGCUCAACCUGGGAAUGGCGCUCGAUACUCUUGUGCUUGAGUUCGGGAGAGGAGCGUGGAAUUCCCAGUGUAGAGGUGAAAUUCGUAGAUAUUGGGAAGAACACCGGUGGCGAAGGCGGCGCUCUGGACCGAGACUGACGCUGAGGCGCGAAAGCGUGGGGA
rnacentral:rRNA from 1 species